AAUAAAAAUAAUAAAAUGUUAGCUGAAAUAUUUUCCAAUAGCAUAUUUUGUAAUAUCCCACAUCCUACUAUAUUAUUUGGAAAGUACAUUUUAAAUGUAACCUUAAUUUUUGUAAGUAAUUACAUAGGUAUGCCAUUAGAAAUAAAAUUUUAAAGAAUAAAUUAAUUUAUCUCUUUAAGGAUUAAAAAGUCAAAUACUAAUUUAAUUA
rnacentral:sRNA from 1 species